GUGGGGAAUCUUCCGCAAUGGACGAAAGUCUGACGGAGCAACGCCGCGUGAGUGAAGAAGGUUUUCGGAUCGUAAAGCUCUUUCGUUAGGGACGAACGUGCUCUUUGUGAAUAAUGAGGAGUAAUGACGGUACCUAAAUAAGAAGCCACGGCUAACUACGUGCCAGCAGCCGCGGUAAUACGUAGGUGGCAAGCGUUGUCCGGAAUUAUUGGGCGUAAAGCGCGCGCAGGCGGGAUAUCAAGGCUGCCGUAAAAGUGCGAGGCUCAACCUCGUGAGGGGACAGAAACUGGUAUUCUUGAGUGUCGGAGAGGAAAGUGGAAUUCCAAGUGUAGCGGUGAAAUGCGUAGAGAUUUGGAAGAACACCAGUGGCGAAGGCGACUUUCUGGACGAUGUCUGACGCUGAGGCGCGAAAGCUAGGGGAGCGAACGGGAUUAGAAACCCUUGUAGUCC
rnacentral:rRNA from 1 species